rnacentral:rRNA from 1 species
UACGGAAGGGGCUAGCGUUGUUCGGAAUUACUGGGCGUAAAGCGCACGUAGGCGGCUUUGCAAGUUAGAGGUGAAAGCCCGGGGCUCAACUCCGGAAUUGCCUUUAAAACUGCAUCGCUAGAGUUGUGGAGAGGUAAGUGGAAUUCCGAGUGUAGAGGUGAAAUUCGUAGAUAUUCGGAAGAACACCAGUGGCGAAGGCGACUUACUGGACACAUACUGACGCUGAGGUGCGAAAGCGUGGGGAGCAAACAGG